rnacentral:rRNA from 1 species
UACAGAGGGGGGCAAGCGUUUGUUCGGAAUUACUGGGCGUAAAGGGCGCGUAGGCGGCCUUCUAAGUCGAACGUGAAAUCCCUGGGCUCAACCCAGGAACUGCGUCCGAUACUGGAAGGCUUGAAUCCGGAAGAGGAGAGUGGAAUUCCCGGUGUAGCGGUGAAAUGCGCAGAUAUCGGGAAGAACACCCGUGGCGAAGGCAGCUCGCUGGGGACGGUACUGACGCUGAGACGCGAAAGCGUGGGGGAGCAAACAGG